rnacentral:rRNA from 1 species
AUUGAACGCUGGCGGCAUGCCUUACACAUGCAAGUCGAACGGCAGCACGGGUGCUUGCACCUGGUGGCGAGUGGCGAACGGGUGAGUAAUACAUCGGAACAUGUCCUGUAGUGGGGGAUAGCCCGGCGAAAGCCGGAUUAAUACCGCAUACGAUCUACGGAUGAAAGCGGGGGACCUUCGGGCCUCGCGCUAUCGGGUUGGCCGAUGGCUGAUUAGCUAGUUGGUGGGGUAAAGGCCUACCAAGGCGACGAUCAGUAGCUGGUCUGAGGGGACGACCAGCCACACUGGGACUGAGACACGGCCCAGACUCCUACGGGAGGCAGCAGUGGGGAAUUUUGGACAAUGGGCGAAAGCCUGAUCCAGCAAUGCCGCGUGUGUGAAGAAGGCCUUCGGGUUGUAAAGCACUUUUGUCCGGAAAGAAAUCCUUGGCUCUAAUACAGUCGGGGGAUGACGGUACCGGAAGAAUAAGCACCGGCUAACUACGUG